CCUACGGGGGGCAGCAGUGGGGAAUAUUGCACAAUGGGGGAAACCCUGAUGCAGCGACGCCGCGUGAGUGAAGAAGUAAUUCGUUAUGUAAAGCUCUAUCAGCAGGGAAGAAAAUGACGGUACCUGAGUAAGAAGCCCCGGCUAACUACGUGCCAGCAGCCGCGGUAAUACGUAGGGGGCAAGCGUUAUCCGGAUUUACUGGGUGUAAAGGGAGCGUAGACGGUUAUGCAAGUCUGAAGUGAAAGCCCAAGGCUCAAACAUGGGACUGCUUUGGAAACUGUAAAACUGGAGUGCAGGAGAGGUAAGCGGAAUGCCUAGUGUAGCGGUGAAAUGCGUAGAUAUUAGGAGGAACACCAGUGGCGAAGGCGGCUUACUGGACUGUAACUGACGUUGAGGCUCGAAGGCGUGGGGAGCAAACAGGAUUAGAUACCCGGGUAGUC
rnacentral:rRNA from 1 species